rnacentral:rRNA from 1 species
AUGGGCUGCCGCAUAAGCUGUGAGGAGGGAGAGCCGGCGGCGGCGGCGGCGCUGGACGACGACAACCUGCUCUCCGAGAUCCUCCUCCGCCUGCCGCCGCUCCCGUCCUCCCUCCCCCGCGCCUCCGCCGUCUGCAGGCGCUGGCGCGGCCUCAUCUCCGACCCAGCCUUCUCUCGCCGCUUCCGCCUUCACCACCGCCGCAACCCUCCACUCCUCGGCUGCUUCCACGCAGGUGCCGACAGCCCGUCCUUCGAGCCUACUCUGGAGGCCCCAGAUCGUGUUCCGCCCGGGCGUUUCUCCUUGCAAGCCGACCUCGACCACUUCCAGUUCCGGGUCCUCGGGUGCCGCCAUGGCCUUGUAUUAAUCCUCGACCCGAGGAGGCUCCAGUUGCUGGUAUGGGCCCCCGUCACCGGCCACCAGCACAACGUAUCCAUUCCCACGGGAUUCGAUCGGCUCAAGUUGGUCCGCGGGGCGGUGAUCCGCGCUGCUCCCGGGGACGUCCACUUCCAGAUCGUCUUGGUAGUGGCAGAUCACGACGAGAUGCAAGAUGGACGAGCGCUGGCCUGCGUUUACUCGUCCAAGACCGUGGCGUGGGGUAAUCCCAUCUUAACAUUGAUUCCCUCCGGGAACGAAUUUCCCACCAGGGCUUCUGGGGAUCUGGCUGUGCUGGUCGGGCAUUCCCUUUACUGGAUACUUUAUGGUAAUUUGCCAAAUAUCCUCGAGUUUGAUUUGGAGAGGGAGAGCCUGGCCGUGAUACCGUUGCCAGCGAAUAUGUUUGAUGUUCAAGGCUUCACACUCAUGCGGGCAGAGGAUGGUGAGCUGGGUUUUUUCUCCGUGUCAGGCCUCACUGCCCGGUUAUGGAAGAGGAACACCAUCUGUAAUGGUGUUCGAUCAUGGGGGAUAGUAAGAACUGUUGAAUUGGACAAGCUACUUUCCCUGGAUUCAGAGGAGCACAUAACCGUAUAUGGGUUUGCUGAGGAUAAUAAUUUGGUGUUCCUGCGGGUCGGUAUGAGCAUCGUCUUCACUGUCCAGAUUGAGUCAUUGCGAUUCAAGAAAGUUUUCGACACCUACAAAUGGCGUAGUUAUUAUCCAUUUGAAAGUGUCUAUGCUGCAGGUAUCUAG